UACAGCCAUAUCAUGUUCAAACACUGGACCUCGUAUGGUCACUGAAAUUAAGCAAUGUCGAGCCUGGUCAGUACCUAGAUGGGUGACCACUUCUGAAUACCAGGUGGU